rnacentral:lncRNA from 1 species
ACAACAUCCGGGGGGUUACUCCGAAGUAUUGGAAAACCUCGAUAAAGAAAGGGGUAAAAGGGAAAGGUAGACCAAAAUCUCUCUGUUUAAGGAAAAAGACUAUACAACGCCCCCUUUGGGGAUCCAUCAAACCAGGAGGGGGAGGGUUCGGAAGAACUAUCCUUUCAUUUUGAAAAGGAGCUCGAAUAAGAUAAAGUGGAGUAUCUAAAUACCUCCGAGAAAU